AAUCAACGCUGGCGGCGUGCCUAACACAUGCAAGUCGAACGCGAAAGCCCCUUCGGGGGUAAGUAGAGUGGCGUCCGGGUGAGUAACACGUAGGUAAUCUACCUUCGGGUGGGGAAGUAACUACGCCGAAAGGACGAGCUAAUACCGCAUAAUGCAGCGGCACCUAAUGGUGAUUAGUUGUUAAAGCGGGGGAGUCGUAAGACCUCGCGCCUGAAGAGGAGCCUGCGGCAGAUUAG
rnacentral:rRNA from 1 species